CCUGCCCUUAGAGGCACUGUAUGCGUGGCUGCUGUGUCACAUGUACAUCAUGGGUGACAGAGGGGAGAGAAGUUCUCUGUGCUAAGUGUGUUGACCUAUGAGAUUAGUAGCCUAACAUU
rnacentral:snoRNA from 1 species